rnacentral:rRNA from 1 species
GACGUAGGGGGCGAGCGUUGUCCGGAAUUACUGGGCGUAAAGAGCACGUAGGCGGAUAAUUAAGUCAGAUGUGAAAGACCGGGGCCCAACCUCGGGGUUGCAUCUGAAACUGGAUAUCUUGAGGGCAGGAGAGGAAAGUGGAAUUCCUGGUGUAGCGGUAAAAUGCGUAGAUAUCAGGAGGAAUACCGGUGGCGAAGGCGGUCAUCUGGCUCAUUAUUGACGUUGAGGCACGAAAGCGUGGGUAGCGAACAGGAUUAGAUACCCUGGUAGUCCCU